UUAUUCUUGCGAUAAAUUACAAAACAAGUUCUGACAGUAUGGGCUUUGCCACAUGACAUGAUGUUGACAUUUUCUUUCCACACUUGUUGAUAGAAACAUUCAAGAACUGAGGACAUUCAAAGGGGUCCUCCUAUCUUGCUCAUUUCAGGGGGCUUUUAACAUGAUAUUGAAUUCCAACACGCUCGGAUUCCUCAGCUUCCUCCUCAACUUUCUGUUGCGAUCGUCCAGAUGAAUAUGAUAAUACCACUUCUGAGAGAGGUCCUACUGAC